rnacentral:ncRNA from 1 species
AGCGGUGCAGUGAUGUAGCGUUGAGUAGGUCAGAAGUCAGCCGAGGUCAUAGUAGUCUGGCUAUCUGGACGAAGGAC